rnacentral:rRNA from 1 species
UACGUAGGGUGCAGGCGUUAAUCGGAAUUACUGGGCGUAAGGCGUGCGCAGGCGGUUUGCUAAGACAGGUGUGAAAUCCCCGGGCUUAACCUGGGAACUGCGCUUGUAACUGGCAAGCUGGAGUGUGGCAGAGGGGGGUGGAAUUCCACGUGUAGCAGUGAAAUGCGUAGAGAUGUGGAGGAACACCGAUGGCGAAGGCAGCCCCCUGGGCUAACACUGACGCUCAUGCACGAAAGCGUGGGGAGCAAACAGG